rfam:Pseudorhodoferax sp. Leaf274 contig_4, whole genome shotgun sequence.
CGGAGCGUAGCGCAGUCUGGUAGCGCAUCUGGUUUGGGACCAGAGGGUCGAAGGUUCGAAUCCUUUCGCUCCGA